UGGGGAAUUUUUCGCAAUGGGGGCAACCCUGACGAAGCAAUGCCGCGUGGAUGAUGAAGUAUCUCGGUACGUAAAAUCCUUUCGACGGGGACGAAACCGCAAGGUUGACGGUACCCGUAGAAGAAGCCCCGGCUAACUCCGUGCCAGCAGCCGCGGUAAUACGGGGGGGGCAAGCGUUGUUCGGAAUUACUGGGCGUAAAGGGUGCGUAGGCGGUUCUCUAAGUCGGAUGUGAAAACUCUGGGCUCAACCCAGAGCCUGCAUCCGAAACUGGAGGACUAGGGUUCUGGAGGGGAAAGCGGAAUUCCUGGUGUAGCGGUGAAAUGCGUAGAUAUCAGGAGGAACACCGGUGGCGAAGGCGGCUUUCUGGACAGAUACCGACGCUGAGGCACGAAAGCUAGGGGAGCAAAC
rnacentral:rRNA from 1 species